rnacentral:tRNA from 1 species
GGUGGCUCAGUUGUAGAGUGCUUGCCUUGUAUGCAUGAGGCCCUGGGUUCAAUUCCUCAGCACCA